ensembl:lncRNA novel transcript
GGAAUCCGUCUCUGCUCUUCUGCAUUCUCCACCUCGGGAGCCCCUGGGGACUCUGUGACGGCCUCUGUUGCCCUGUGAUCUGCAGGUCCGGAGAGACGCACAGCUAAGAUGUCAGGACAUCCUGGAAGCUGGGAAAGGUAGAGACGCGGUUUCACCGUGGUCUUGAUCUCCUGAUCUUGUGAUCCACCCGCCUCGGCCUCCCAAAGUGCUGGGAUUACAAGUGUGAGCCACCGCGCCUGGCUGCAACUAUAAUGUUUUGCUAAGUUCUAUCUCUUCCCAGGGUGAAAGGGGACUGAGGGCUUGGAAGAAAGAAGUUCUGAAAACAGACUCCCUGCCCUCAACCUGCUACCACCAAUGAUUUCCGCCUACUAAUGAACAUACCCACUAGGAAUGGGUGUGGCCAGAAUCUUCACAAAACAAGAAGACUUGAUCUGAGGAAUUACUCUAUAGUGGCUUUACCUCUAAAAUUUCUCACCAAAGAAUUACACAAGUGCCUAGAGGACUCCUGGAUUAUCCCUACCACAAACCCUGAACCUGAAGCAGCAACCUGGUCUCUCUAUCACCCUGGGCUUGUGGACUACCAAUCAUAAUCUCAUCCACCUGCAUGGACACAGGAAUAUGUCAGAACAUAACCCUGCCUGAAUCAGUAUCUGUAGCAUAAACCAGUCUUUCCAGCUACCAUGCACUGUCCCCCACUCACGGGUCCUUGAUAGCACCUUUCCCUCUUCUGUCUUUUGCUUUUCUACAAACCCUUUCUGAUGUGCACAGUGUGCCUCAGGUGCCUGAAUCCAGCACCUACUGGGAGUCAGAUGUCCAUGAGUUCAAGAUUAUAGCCCUAGACCUGGCUGUCAUAAGAACAGACAAAAAUUAGAAAUACAGUCUUCAUCCUUGAAAAUAAAAGAUUUUUCUCUUUCCUUUUCUUAAAGCA